rnacentral:rRNA from 1 species
UACGUAGGGGGCAAGCGUUGUCCGGAUUUAUUGGGCGUAAAGAGCGUGUAGGCGGCCAUACAGGUCCGUUGUGAAAACUGGAGGCUUAACCUCCAGACGUCGAUGGAAACCGUAUGGCUAGAGUCCGGAAGAGGAGAGUGGAAUUCCUGGUGUAGCGGUGAAAUGCGUAGAGAUCAUGAGGAAGACCAGUGGCGAAGGCGGGUCUCUGGACAGUUCCGUGACACUGAGGCACGAAGGCCAGGGGAGCAAACGGG